AUGAACGCUAGCGGCAGGCCUAAUACAUGCAAGUCGGACGGGAUCUAAGAUUAAGCUUGCUUAAUCUUAGUGAGAGUGGCGCACGGGUGCGUAACGCGUGAGCAACCUACCCAUAUCAGGGGGAUAGCCCGGUGAAAAUCGGAUUAACACCGCAUGACACAGCGACUCGGCAUCGAGAUGUUGUUAAAUAUUUAUAGGAUAUGGAUGGGCUCGCGUGACAUUAGCUAGUUGGUAAGGUAACGGCUUACCAAGGCAACGAUGUCUAGGGGCUCUGAGAGGAGAAUCCCCCACACUGGUACUGAGACACGGACCAGACUCCUACGGGAGGCAGCAGUAAGGAAUAUUGGUCAAUGGAGGGAACUCUGAACCAGCCAUGCCGCGUGCAGGAUGACUGCCCUAUGGGUUGUAAACUGCUUUUGUCCAGGAAUAAACCCCUCUACGUGUAGAGGUUUGAAUGUACUGGAAGAAUAAGGAUCGGCUAACUCCGUG
rnacentral:rRNA from 1 species